UACGUAGGGGGGCAAGCGUUGUCCGGAAUUAUUGGGCGUAAAGAGCUCGUAGGCGGUGUGUCACGUCGGCCGUGAAAACCUGCAGCUUAACUGUGGGCGUGCGGUCGAUACGGGCAUCACUGGAGUUCGGCAGGGGAGACUGGAAUUCCUGGUGUAGCGGUGAAAUGCGCAGAUAUCAGGAGGAACACCGGUGGCGAAGGCGGGUCUCUGGGCCGAUACUGACGCUGAGGAGCGAAAGCGUGGGGAGCAAACAGG
rnacentral:rRNA from 1 species